AGGAUUGAGGAUGUUUUUACUCGUUACAUUAAUCUUCCUGACCAAGAAAGAGAUAAUGCUGUAAGUUUUCCUGAGCUACCUUACCGCAGGGGUAUUCAAAAUAAGGAGGUAUUU